AAUAGAUACCCGGUAGUCCAUGCCGUAAACGUUGGGCGCUAGAUGUGGGGACCAUUCCACGGUUUCCGUGUCGCAGCUAACGCAUUAAGCGCCCCGCCUGGGGAGUACGGCCGCAAGGCUAAAACUCAAAGGAAUUGACGGGGGCCCGCACAAGCGGCGGAGCAUGCGGAUUAAUUCGAUGCAACGCGAAGAACCUUACCAAGGCUUGACAUAUACGAGAACGCCCUAGAAAUAGAGAACUCUUUGGACACUCGUAUACAGGUGGUGCAUGGUUGUCGUCAGCUCGUGUCGUGAGAUGUUGGGUUAAGUCCCGCAACGAGCGCAACCCUCGUUCUAUGUUGCCAGCGGUUCGGCCGGGAACUCAUAGGAGACUGCCGGGGUCAACUCGGAGGAAGGUGGGGAUGACGUCAAAUCAUCAUGCCCCUUAUGUCUUGGGCUUCACGCAUGCUACAAUGGCCGGUACAAAGGGCUGCAAUACCGUAAGGUGGAGCGAAUCCCAAAAAGCCGGUCUCAGUUCGGAUUGAGGUCUGCAACUCGACCU
rnacentral:rRNA from 1 species